rnacentral:rRNA from 1 species
UGGGGAAUAUUGCACAAUGGGGGAAACCCUGAUGCAGCGACGCCGCGUGAGCGAAGAAGGCUUUCGAGUCGUAAAGUUCUUUUAUAUGAGAAGAUAAUGACGGUAUCAUAGGAGGAAGCCCCGGCUAAAUACGUGCCAGCAGCCGCGGUAAUACGUAUGGGGCGAGCGUUGUCCGGAAUUAUUGGGCGUAAAGGGUACGUAGGCGGUCUAUUAAGUCAGGUGUGAAAGCGUGAGGCUUAACCUCAUUAAGCACUUGAAACUGAUAGACUUGAGUGAAGGAGAGGAAAGUGGAAUUCCUAGUGUAGCGGUGAAAUGCGUAGAUAUUAGGAGGAAUACCGGUGGCGAAGGCGACUUUCUGGACUUUUACUGACGCUCAGGUACGAAAGCGUGGGGAGCAAACAGG